UACAGAGGGUGCGAGCGUUAAUCGGAAUUACUGGGCGUAAAGGGUGCGUAGGCGGUUCGAUAAGUUAGGUGUGAAAGUCCUGGGCUUAACCUGGGGAUUGCGCCUAAUACUGUUGAGCUAGAGUACUGUAGAGGAAGGUAGAAUUUCCAGUGUAGCGGUGAAAUGCGUAGAUAUUGGAAGGAAUACCAGUGGCGAAGGCGACCUGCUGGACAGAUACUGACACUGAGGCACGAAAGCGUGGGGAGCGAACAGG
rnacentral:rRNA from 1 species